rnacentral:misc_RNA from 1 species
AGCUAGCUCAAGGGGGAGAAUUGCUGAAACUCAAGUCCUUAUAUUUCCUUAUCCAAAAUUGAUGUGGGACAACACAACCCCUCACGCUUAGGCAUUAACAUCUGUGGGGGGGUUCAACAUCAAGGCAAAGGAGGAGUGUUGGGAAUCCCACAUGGGAAAUCUAUAAAAUGAAAUGGCAAAAUAUAAAGGGUUGGGUUGCAACAUUAAAAUGGUUAGUUAUUUUGAUGUGUAAACCAAUAAAAUUAUUUAUAUAAAUUCGAAUUAACAGAAACUACUAUUCUAAUGAUAUUGAAUCAGCUUUUGAAUAAUUUAAUUGGUUCUUUUCAAUUCUUUUAACUGCAUAAAAAAUUGAAGGAAUUUUGAUAACCAGAUAGUGUUGUUAUGGUGUUUUCAGGACUUGUCUCAUCCUCUUCUAGCAAAAGCUAUCCAAGCUUUC